rnacentral:rRNA from 1 species
ACGAACGCUGGCGGCGUGCUUAACACAUGCAAGUCGCACGGAAAGGCCCUGCUUUUGUGGGGUGCUCGAGUGGCGAACGGGUGAGUAACACGUGAGUAACCUGCCCUUGACUUUGGGAUAACUUCAGGAAACUGGGGCUAAUACCGGAUAGGAGCUCCUGCUGCAUGGUGGGGGUUGGAAAGUUUCGGCGGUUGGGGAUGGACUCGCGGCUUAUCAGCUUGUUGGUGGGGUAGUGGCUUACCAAGGCUUUGACGGGUAGCCGGCCUGAGAGGGUGACCGGCCACAUUGGGACUGGGAUACGGCCCAGACUCCUACGGGAGGCAGCAGUGGGGAAUAUUGCACAAUGGGCGGAAGCCUGAUGCAGCAACGCCGCGUGCGGGAUGACGGCCUUCGGGUUGUAAACCGCUUUCGCCUGUGACGAAGCGUGAGUGACGGUAAUGGGUAAAGAAGCACCGGCUAACUACGUG